UGAAAAUGGAAAUGCUGAAAAUGGAAAAUGUUGGAAGAAGGAAACAAGGAAAUGCCGAAAAAAGGGAAACACAAAAUUUGUAAGAGCAAAACGCUGAGAAAAAAAAGGAAUGCUAAAAAAGUGAAACGCUGAAAGAAGGAAACAAGGAAAUGCUGAAAAAAAAAGGAAAACACGAAAUCUAUAAGAGUAAUCUCUAUAUAGUUUAUGUGAUUCAACCACGAUAACGA
rnacentral:lncRNA from 1 species